AUGGCUGAGUUGAAGGUUAGGAAUUAGCCAAAUGGACAUGCAUCUAAUUGAAAUAGAAAAUAGGUUUAUGGAAUUAUGUCUCAAGUUUCCCUCAAGGUAUCACAGACAAAAUAAUUUGGGAUGAAAGGCCUCAUAGUAAGCCCAGCAAGGGCACAGGGCUGUCCAUAACCCACUGAACAUGGGUGAGUUGGAUCUCUUUUGGUCUUCUAUAGGGAUUUUUUAAAAAAUCUCAAAAUGCUGAUAAAUUAAAGGAUUCAAUAACCAAGAAACACUAGCAUUUCAAAUCAUAGAAGAUGUAGAGCUAAGAUAUCUACAUAUAAGCGAUUUGUUCUCAACAGAAAUAAAGAAAACUUAUAAGAACUUAGUAGGACAAGAACAAAACAGAUCAAAACAAAUUAACCAAGCUAUUAAAUCUCCAGAGCCCCAAAGAAGCUGUAUGUUCAAUGUAAUCUGCAGUCUAGUUGCUUGAGUGCUGGAGCCUGGCACAGCAACUAAGGUUUAGAGUCACAAUUUGUGAAGGUGCUACAGCAGUAGGGUUUUAAAUUUCAAUGAAUGAAGGCAGAAACAGGAUUCCAUUAAUAUGACUCAUUUGCUUUGUUAGAAAUGUGUAGAAAUAUAUUUGUGAACAGGAAGUAGCAAGGUAGUCUUUUCCAUGGAAAACAUGCAAACCAUUUUGAACAUAUUUACUUAUUAUAGAAAAGUGGAAAUGACAAUUGCUGCUGCAAAUGCAGGCACAAUUGACACAAUGUAGACAGAACGUUAUCCUGAUGAACCUGUGCAAUGCAUCAAUCCAUCAUACAGGCCAUUUGCAUAAGGUAUCUGCCCAGAUUUCGAGCAUUGGCACAAAGUUUAUGUGAGAUCACUAUCAAAUGUAUUUCACAUG
rnacentral:lncRNA from 1 species